ACUCCUACGGGAGGCAGCAGUGGGGAAUAUUGCACAAUGGGCGCAAGCCUGAUGCAGCCAUGCCGCGUGUAUGAAGAAGGCCUUCGGGUUGUAAAGUACUUUCAGCAGUGAGGAAGGUGGUAGUGUUAAUAGCACUAUCAUUUGACGUUAGCUGCAGAAGAAGCACCGGCUAACUCCGUGCCAGCAGCCGCGGUAAUACGGAGGGUGCGAGCGUUAAUCGGAAUUACUGGGCGUAAAGCGCAUGCAGGUGGUUUGUUAAGUCAGAUGUGAAAGCCCGGGGCUCAACCUCGGAAUUGCAUUUGAAACUGGCAGACUAGAGUACUGUAGAGGGGGGUAGAAUUUCAGGUGUAGCGGUGAAAUGCGUAGAGAUCUGAAGGAAUACCGGUGGCGAAGGCGGCCCCCUGGACAGAUACUGACACUC
rnacentral:rRNA from 1 species